CAAUAUUGCACUAUAAGGCCCAAAUGGCCAAACUGACAAUUAUUCAGUCCAACCCCAAACAAUUUUAAAGUCCAACUCACUAAAUCCAUCAUCCGCCCUCAAUUUCAUCGUGGGUCUCAAAUCAGGCACUCUUUAAGUGUUAGUGCCCCGCCAAAACCCCAACCUUCCCCACACUUUUUAUCCUGCCUUGCCUUACGCUUUCCACCUCACCCAUCCCUUGCUCUCUCUCUUUUCAAUCCUUUGCAGUUUGUAGUCUGUCCAAAACUCAUCUCCGUAAAACCCUUCCUUAACCCUCUCAGAGCCUCACCUCCCCAUAAAUACGUUCACCCUUAACCUAUCUCUGACUUCGCAGAAGCCAAGUUUAGACGUGACUUUUCAACAAGCUAUCUAAAGACAAAGACUCGUUUGUUGAUGAUCUCGAUGAGGGAAGGAUUCUUCUCUUUUUCUUUUAAUUUUUUUACCGCUUUUUUAAUGGCUAGUUUCAUAUUUCAUUUAAUUGCUGUUGAUUGAUGGGGUAUUAUUGGAUUUCCUUUGAUUAAUUGUGUAUAAAUUAGGAAUGGCUUUUGUUUCUAUAGUUUUUAUUCUUUGGUGUUUGGAGGACCUGUUAUUUAUUGUUAAAUGACAAACUUCUAUUCUUUUAUUGCUAAUGAAUCAGUAUACAUCCAUUAACAUUGAGCUUAACAUACUUGAAAGAAUGUGACACUGACAACAUGAUUUCCUUGAAGUAAUUUAGCUUCACAAAUUGAAAGACGAAACUUAUUUAAAGUAAUUGAAAAUUCUUGAUGAACUUCUUUACAUGUAAAAUCUGAAUCUGCAAUCAAUCACUAUGGGCUUCGUUAAUUUUUUAAUCUGUGCUCUUGUAUCAUCAAAGGAUGACUUACUGGCUAUUCAACUUUCAAUGGGUGUAGUGAAGGACUUGGAUCACUAGAAAAAAUUCCUUGUUUCUGAGAGUAGAAGGAAUCAGAUUUUUUUGUUUUCAACCUGGUUUCAUCUCAAGGUAUUUAACAAUUUCUUGCACGAUGAGUGUGGCUGGAGGACCCGGGACAUUGUUGGUGGAGCCUUUCACCGAUAUGUUUGUUGCUCUAAAGGAGAAGAAAUUAGUUGGAGCACCUGUCGCUGCACGGGCAUCCUUGUUAUGGGCCCAAACUAUGUUGAUCAUGAUUGGGAGGCUUGGAGCUCAAACUCACCCAAGUGAUUUACUCAACAUAAUUCAUAACAUUUUUUUUUAUUAUUAUCAUUGUUCUACUGUAAUAACUGAUCAAGUUUAUAAUUUGUAUAAAACAGUGAGUGAAAGACCUAAUUUCAUAUCAGAAUAGUUCUUGCAAUAUAUACAAUGUAGGAUCCAGUCCUCUU